ACCUUGGGAGGAACCGGUCAAAGGAAUGAGCGCCUUCUGGAACUGUCAAGCCUUCAUUUAGCAGCCAGGUGACUGGCUUGGCCUCCUUGUGAGGUGCUGAGGGAAGAUGUCUGCUGUUCCGAAACGAUAAAAAUAAAAAAUGGGGUCCCUGUGUUGUUGAGUGAUGGGUGCUAAUGCUGGCAGCUGAAUGAUUAUCUUCUGGCUAUGUUUUCAUUUGUUGAAGCUGAAACGCAGCCUACGACCUAGGACGUCACAGCCAGAGCUGCCUCUGGCAAGGUCUUGUAGCUGGCUUAAGAGGGCAGAUGGAAGCAUCUGCCUCAGGGGCAGGUGAGCGGGCAGAGGUGUCUCACACAGGCUCAAAGGAGCAAACUGCAUUCUGAAGAGCUGCAUAAGAAGGGGGCUGGUCAUGAGCUUGGUUGGAGUGGAAUGGCUAAGGAGCGUGAGGUGACUAUGAAAGGUCUCUGUCUUGUUUGUGGGUGCCAUGGCAGGCUCUCCACAGAAGUGGCUGAUGAUUUGAGAUAAGACCGGAGAGCGGCAAGGAGCGGCAUGUGCAGUUAUGGCUUCCAAGUGCUGUGGUUGCUCUGUUCUGUUUAUCAGGUGCCACAGGCAAGGUGGGUUGUAACAUCAGUCUUUAGAAUUGGAGCAAAGCAGGUCGCUUGAAUGCUGCAUUGUUCUUGAGAAAGGUGUUGUAGAGAAAAAAGGUGGACUGGUGUGGCAGUUUCUGAUGGCGGUCCGUUUCUGCAGGUGAAGAGGUGCCUGAGGCCCCGUCCCGUGUAGGCUGAGCAUGUCUCGCUGAGGAUGAAGCCUGCUUUCCAGCAGGUCCCAAAGCUGUGUUGGGGCUGAAAUGCUGUGUCUGUAUUUGGGUUGGGGUUGUGCCUUGGUGAGUGUGGGGUUGGGUUUUAAGUUGGUGCAGCAGAUACGUAUAUAAAUGAAAUUCACAUAAGUGAUAUAUGAUAAAGUAUUGUGAAUCCUUGAACUUCUAGUCUACAUUAGCUAAUAUGUAUGGAGUUGCAUGAAACAUUGAGAAGCAGCUUCUAAUAAGCAGGUUUUUGUUGUCAUUAACUCAGCCCAUGCCUUUGCCAUACAUAAAGAUCAAGACAAACUACCUUUUUACACAGGAACUGCUGUGGUUGCACAGAAAGUCCUAGAGGACAUUUAGGGCUGUAUUUUGGUUCCCAAAGCAUUUUUACCUGAAGUCCAACUGAUUUAUAUUGGCCGAGCCUCUUUAUAGGGUCCCUGUCUGGUCGCAGAGCCUAGCCACGGUGUUUCCACUGCGCUCUCUGCUCCGUCCUCUUCUUUAGA